AUCUCAAGAGCACCUGAUAUGGCUGGCUCUUAUCGCUGUUCCGGCACGGCACGUGUGACUACAGGAAUUAUUUCGUGAACAAUGAAAGCAUCAGUCAUAUCAACAAUCUUUUCUUCUGCAAGCAUCCUUCCUCGCCAGUCGUCUUGACAGGCAGAACGGUGCCACUGAAAGUCAAACUUCCUGGGAUCAAUCUUGUUCCCGAGUUUUUCUAGGUCGACCUCCACGCGUGCAGUCUGCUGCUGACAAAGCCUCUGUUGUUAGCCUAUGACUCAUAGCAUUCCUGCUCUUCCACAAUAAAAACCCUGAAGGUCUUCAGCAAAGGUCAUCUUUGGAACACCUUGAUAGGACUGAAGGACCAUGUCCCACAGGGCUGACACCUGUAAAGGUCCCUUGCCCAGUCAUGGCUGGUUAUCGUAAUACUGCUGCACUACUGUCCAUCAUGGACUUAGUGUCCGUAGAAUGCAGUCUUUUGGAGCAAUAACCUUGCCACAUGGUGAUGAAACUAGUGCUGCAUGCAAAGCUCUUGCAAGUCCCAGCUUUAUUGCCAUGGAGUCAUCAGGCAAGGAUUAAGAAGGUACCAUGGAAGUGUGUUUCGUAGUGCAUGUAGCAUCACAUUGCCAGGAUGUAUGCGAACUGCACAAUACAGGUAAAAUACUAGAGCAUUGGAUGUGUUUGUUAUAUAAGCAACCAACGGUACCGUGCAGGUAUUUUUCAUUGUUGAGUACUUGUUGCAUACGCUGACACACAGGUCUACUGUACAUGGCCCAUACACUUGCACCAUACAUCAAAUGCCUACAGGCAAAACUUGGUGUGAUGUCUGUUUGAUAUUGAACAGCAUUCAGCUGCUCAUUACGAGGAACAGCUAAACAAGUGAUACUUACCACUUCCACAUGCUUCACAAAGCCAUGUGCCACGAAUCACUGUCAAGCAUCAUUGUUAUGAUGUCUAGCUUACUGCAGCAUCCUAUAGAAACUCUGCAUUUCAUGUGUUCUAGUUACUUUGCAAUAAAAUACCGGACACUGGA